rnacentral:rRNA from 1 species
GACGAACCGUCCUAACGUUGUUCGGAAUCACUGGGCUUAAAGGGCGCGUAGGCGGCUUGCCAAGUCAGGGGUGAAAUCCUGCAGCUUAACUGUAGAAGGGCCUUUGAUACUGGCGAGCUCGAGGGAGGUAGGGGUAUGUGGAACUUCCGGUGGAGCGGUGAAAUGCGUUGAUAUCGGAAGGAACGCCGGUGGCGAAAGCGACGUACUGGACCUCUUCUGACGCUGAGGCGCGAAAGCCAGGGGAGCGAACGGG